UGGGGAAUAUUGCACAAUGGGGGCAACCCUGAUCCAGCCAUGCCGCGUGCAGGAAGACUGCCCUAUGGGUUGUAAACUGCUUUUGUACGGGAAGAAACACCCCCACGUGUGGGGGCUUGACGGUACCGUAAGAAUAAGGAUCGGCUAACUCCGUGCCAGCAGCCGCGGUAAUACGGAGGAUCCGAGCGUUAUCCGGAAUCAUUGGGUUUAAAGGGUCCGUAGGCGGGCGAUUAAGACAGGGGUGAAAGUUUGCGGCUCAACCGUAAAAUUGCCUUUGAUACUGGUCGUCUUGAAUCAUUUUGAAGUGGUUAGAAUGGGUAGUGGAGCGGUGAAAUGCAUAGAUAUUACUCAGAAUACCGAUUGCGAAGGCAGAUCACUAACAAUGCAUUGACGCUGAGGGACGAAAGCGUGGGGAGCGAACAGUAUUAGAUACCCCCGUAGUCC
rnacentral:rRNA from 1 species